UAACCUGCCUUGUAGCGGGGGAUAACUAUUGGAAACGAUAGCUAAUACCGCAUAACAAUGGAUGACACAUGUCAUUUAUUUGAAAGGGGCAAUUGUUCCACUACAAGAUGGACCUGCGUUGUAUUAGCUAGUAGGUGAGGUAAUGGCUCACCUAGGCGACGAUACAUAGCCGACCUGAGAGGGUGAUCGGCCACACUGGGACUGAGACACGGCCCAG
rnacentral:rRNA from 1 species